rnacentral:rRNA from 1 species
AUUGAACGCUGGCGGAAUGCUUUACACAUGCAAGUCGAACGGCAGCACGGGGGCAACCCUGGUGGCGAGUGGCGAACGGGUGAGUAAUACAUCGGAACGUGCCCAGUCGUGGGGGAUAACGUAGCGAAAGUUACGCUAAUACCGCAUACGAUCUACGGAUGAAAGCGGGGGACCGUAAGGCCUCGCGCGAUUGGAGCGGCCGAUGUCAGAUUUGGUAGUUGGCGAGGUAAAGGCUCACCAAGCCGACGAUCUGUAGCUGGUCUGAGAGGACGACCAGGCACACUGGGACGGAGACACGGCCCAGACUCCUACGGGAGGCAGCAGUGGGGAAUUUUGGACAAUGGGCGCAAGCCUGAUCCAGCCAUUCCGCGUGCAGGACGAAGGCCUUCGGAUUGUAGACUGCUUUUGUACGGAACGAAAAGGCUCUGGUUAAUACCUGGGGCUCAUGACGGUGCCGUAAGAAUAAGCACCGGCUAACUACGUGCCAGCCGCCGCCGUAA